rnacentral:rRNA from 1 species
UACGUAGGGGGCAAGCGUUGUCCGGAUUUAUUGGGCGUAAAGGGCGCGUAGGCGGUCUGCUAAGUUGGAUGUGAAAACUCUGGGCUUAACCCAGAGCCUGCAUUCAAUACGUGACAGGCUAGAGUUCUGGAGGGGAUAGCGGAAUUCCUGGUGUAGCGGUGAAAUGCGUAGAUAUCAGGAGGAACACCGGUGGCGAAGGCGGCUAUCUGGACAGAGUCUGACGCUGAGGCGCGAAAGCUAGGGAGCAA